UAACGUUUGUCUUUUCUUUUCUCCCAAACUUUAAAUUUCUCAUUCUCCCUUCUUUAAAUGUAGGCAGUCAGGGAAACCCAAGCCGGUGUGAAGCCUCCAGGAGUUUGGGGGACGCUGAAUAGGGUCAUUGACCCUGUCAAGAACAAAGCCCCCCUUCAAAACUUACAAAACUAUCGCCUCUUGCGGACUGCCCUUGGAACGCAACUUACCUGCGAUGUUCCUUUUUCUGCAAUCUGUUGGUCAACCCUUGAGCCAUUGAGCCAAUCAGGCGAAGAAUUCUUGGUCUGGUGGGUGAUGAACCCAGCGCAGCCAGUGUCCUCCGGGCAAAUUUCUCUGAUUUGUUGCAGGAAGCCUUGCAGCUGCUGCUACGUGUCCAUUAGAUGUGGCAAAAACUCAACGACAAAAUAGUCUGUAGACGUUAUUUCUCUAAGAUAAGCUUCACCAUGAUUUUGUUUCCUUUCCUUUCUUGUCAUUGUACUGAAAGAAACAGUGAUGCAAUCCUAGAUAUGCUACAGAAUUUAUUCACGAGAUUCUAGCGCACCCAAAAUUAAAACGA